GGGUUGUGAGGUUAAGCGACUAAGCGUACACGGUGGAUGCCCUGGCAGUCAGAGGCGAUGAAGGACGUGCUAAUCUGCGAUAAGCGUCGGUAAGGUGAUAUGAACCGUUAUAACCGGCGAUUUCCGAAUGGGGAAACCCAGUGUGAUUCGUCACACUAUCAUUAACUGAAUCCAUAGGUUAAUGAGGCGAACCGGGGGAACUGAAACAUCUAAGUACCCCGAGGAAAAGAAAUCAACCGAGAUUCCCCCAGUAGCGGCGAGCGAACGGGGAGGAGCCCAGAGCCUGAAUCAGUGUGUGUGUUAGUGGAAGCGUCUGGAAAGGCGCGCGAUACAGGGUGACAGCCCCGUACACAAAAAUGCACAUGCUGUGAGCUCGAUGAGUAGGGCGGGACACGUGGUAUCCUGUCUGAAUAUGGGGGGACCAUCCUCCAAGGCUAAAUACUCCUGACUGACCGAUAGUGAACCAGUACCGUGAGGGAAAGGCGAAAAGAACCCCGGCGAGGGGAGUGAAAAAGAACCUGAAACCGUGUACGUACAAGCAGUGGGAGCACAGAGCAAUCUGUGUGACUGCGUACCUUUUGUAUAAUGGGUCAGCGACUUAUAUUCUGUAGCAAGGUUAACCGAAUAGGGGAGCCGAAGGGAAACCGAGUCUUAACUGGGCGUUAAGUUGCAGGGUAUAGACCCGAAACCCGGUGAUCUAGCCAUGGGCAGGUUGAAGGUUGGGUAACACUAACUGGAGGACCGAACCGACUAAUGUUGAAAAAUUAGCGGAUGACUUGUGGCUGGGGGUGAAAGGCCAAUCAAACCGGGAGAUAGCUGGUUCUCCCCGAAAGCUAUUUAGGUAGCGCCUCGUGAAUUCAUCUCCGGGGGUAGAGCACUGUUUCGGCAAGGGGGUCAUCCCGACUUACCAACCCGAUGCAAACUGCGAAUACCGGAGAAUGUUAUCACGGGAGACACACGGCGGGUGCUAACGUCCGUCGUGAAGAGGGAAACAACCCAGACCGCCAGCUAAGGUCCCAAAGUCAUGGUUAAGUGGGAAACGAUGUGGGAAGGCCCAGACAGCCAGGAUGUUGGCUUAGAAGCAGCCAUCAUUUAAAGAAAGCGUAAUAGCUCACUGGUCGAGUCGGCCUGCGCGGAAGAUGUAACGGGGCUAAACCAUGCACCGAAGCUGCGGCAGCGACGCUGAUGCGUUGUUGGGUAGGGGAGCGUUCUGUAAGCCUGCGAAGGUGUGCUGUGAGGCAUGCUGGAGGUAUCAGAAGUGCGAAUGCUGACAUAAGUAACGAUAAAGCGGGUGAAAAGCCCGCUCGCCGGAAGACCAAGGGUUCCUGUCCAACGUUAAUCGGGGCAGGGUGAGUCGACCCCUAAGGCGAGGCCGAAAGGCGUAGUCGAUGGGAAACAGGUUAAUAUUCCUGUACUUGGUGUUACUGCGAAGGGGGGACGGAGAAGGCUAUGUUGGCCGGGCGACGGUUGUCCCGGUUUAAGCGUGUAGGCUGGUUUUCCAGGCAAAUCCGGAAAAUCAAGGCUGAGGCGUGAUGACGAGGCACUACGGUGCUGAAGCAACAAAUGCCCUGCUUCCAGGAAAAGCCUCUAAGCAUCAGGUAACAUCAAAUCGUACCCCAAACCGACACAGGUGGUCAGGUAGAGAAUACCAAGGCGCUUGAGAGAACUCGGGUGAAGGAACUAGGCAAAAUGGUGCCGUAACUUCGGGAGAAGGCACGCUGAUAUGUAGGUGAAGUCCCUCGCGGAUGGAGCUGAAAUCAGUCGAAGAUACCAGCUGGCUGCAACUGUUUAUUAAAAACACAGCACUGUGCAAACACGAAAGUGGACGUAUACGGUGUGACGCCUGCCCGGUGCCGGAAGGUUAAUUGAUGGGGUUAGCGCAAGCGAAGCUCUUGAUCGAAGCCCCGGUAAACGGCGGCCGUAACUAUAACGGUCCUAAGGUAGCGAAAUUCCUUGUCGGGUAAGUUCCGACCUGCACGAAUGGCGUAAUGAUGGCCAGGCUGUCUCCACCCGAGACUCAGUGAAAUUGAACUCGCUGUGAAGAUGCAGUGUACCCGCGGCAAGACGGAAAGACCCCGUGAACCUUUACUAUAGCUUGACACUGAACAUUGAGCCUUGAUGUGUAGGAUAGGUGGGAGGCUUUGAAGUGUGGACGCCAGUCUGCAUGGAGCCGACCUUGAAAUACCACCCUUUAAUGUUUGAUGUUCUAACGUGGACCCGUAAUCCGGGUUGCGGACAGUGUCUGGUGGGUAGUUUGACUGGGGCGGUCUCCUCCUAAAGAGUAACGGAGGAGCACGAAGGUUGGCUAAUCCUGGUCGGACAUCAGGAGGUUAGUGCAAUGGCAUAAGCCAGCUUGACUGCGAGCGUGACGGCGCGAGCAGGUGCGAAAGCAGGUCAUAGUGAUCCGGUGGUUCUGAAUGGAAGGGCCAUCGCUCAACGGAUAAAAGGUACUCCGGGGAUAACAGGCUGAUACCGCCCAAGAGUUCAUAUCGACGGCGGUGUUUGGCACCUCGAUGUCGGCUCAUCACAUCCUGGGGCUGAAGUAGGUCCCAAGGGUAUGGCUGUUCGCCAUUUAAAGUGGUACGCGAGCUGGGUUUAGAACGUCGUGAGACAGUUCGGUCCCUAUCUGCCGUGGGCGCUGGAGAAUUGAGGGGGCUGCUCCUAGUACGAGAGGACCGGAGUGGACGCAUCACUGGUGUUCGGGUUGUCAUGCCAAUGGCACUGCCCGGUAGCUAAAUGCGGAAGAGAUAAGUGCUGAAAGCAUCUAAGCACGAAACUUGCCCCGAGAUGAGUUCUCCCUGACUCCUUGAGAGUCCUGAAGGAACGUUGAAGACGACGACGUUGAUAGGCCGGGUGUGUAAGCGCAGCGAUGCGUUGAGCUAACCGGUACUAAUGAACCGUGAGGCUUAACCUUACAACGCCGAAGGUGUUU
rnacentral:rRNA from 1 species